UGGGGAAUAUUGGACAAUGGGCGAAAGCCUGAUCCAGCCAUGCCGCGUGUGUGAAGAAGGUCUUCGGAUUGUAAAGCACUUUAAGUUGGGAGGAAGGGCAUUAACCUAAUACGUUAGUGUUUUGACGUUACCGACAGAAUAAGCACCGGCUAACUCUGCGCCAGCAGCCGCGGUAAUACAGAGGGUGCAAGCGUUAAUCGGAAUUACUGGGCGUAAAGCGCGCGUAGGUGGUUUGUUAAGUUGGAUGUGAAAUCCCCGGGCUCAACCUGGGAACUGCAUUCAAAACUGACUGACUAUAGUAUGGUAGAGGGUGGUGGAAUUUCCUGUGUAGCGGUGAAAUGCGUAGAUAUAGGAAGGAACACCAGUGGCGAAGGCGACCACCUGGACUAAUACUGACACUGAGGUGCGAAAGCGUGGGGAGCAAACA
rnacentral:rRNA from 1 species